AUGGGGGAUGCUGCACGACAUUGUGUUUGUGGGUGCUCUGUGGACCUAUUCCACUCCAUGGCGUCGCAGCAAGUGUGGGAUUAUAAUGUACUUUCUCUUAGAAAGGAGAUACAUGUUCAAAAAAAGAUGGUAAAAGUAAAUAAUAAACUACCUUUCUUCUGCAGGUUCUUAAAGAGCCCUUAUGAGAACAUCUAUUUGAGCGAUUCCACAACUCUAAGUAGUGAUUCGGAAUCAAGAUUAGUGUGUGGUCUGAUGGCUCGUUGUGACUGUCUUUGUAUGGGAUAUCGUCUUGAACUUUGA
rnacentral:rRNA from 1 species